rnacentral:rRNA from 1 species
GACGAACGCUGGCGGCGUGCCUAAUACAUGCAAGUCGAGCGAACAGAUGAGAAGCUUGCUUCUCUGAUGUUAGCGGCGGACGGGUGAGUAACACGUGGGUAACCUACCUAUAAGACUGGGAUAACUCCGGGAAACCGGGGCUAAUACCGGAUAAUAUUUUGAACCGCAUGGUUCAAUAGUGAAAGGUGGUUUCGGCUGGCACUUAUAGAUGGACCCGCGCCGUAUUAGCUAGUUGGUAAGGUAACGGCUUACCAAGGCGACGAUACGUAGCCGACCUGAGAGGGUGAUCGGCCACACUGGAACUGAGACACGGUCCAGACUCCUACGGGAGGCAGCAGUAGGGAAUCUUCCGCAAUGGGCGAAAGCCUGGCGGAGCAACGCCGCGUGAGUGAUGAAGGUCUUCGGAUCGUAAAACUCUGUUGUUAGGGAAGAACAAAUUUGUUAGUAACUGAACAAAUCUUGACGGUACCUAACCAGAAAGCCACGGCUAACUACGUGCCAGCCGCCGCAGUAA